rnacentral:rRNA from 1 species
AUGAGGCCGAUGCAUCUCUUGGGGGUCACUUGCCUAUGGAUCCUCUCAUGCGCCUUGCUGCUCGGCGGCGCUUGCUCCGAUGGGUUGCUGAGGAUCAACCUGAGCAAGAAGAGGCUGAACAAGGAAACCCUAACAGCCGCGAAAUCGGCGAGGCAGGAGACCAACCUGCUGAGGCCCGGCGAUGGAUCUCGCCACUCUCUCGGCCUGUCAGACGAUGACAUAGUUCCUCUGGACAACUUCCUUGACACCGAGUACUUCGGAGAGAUCGGCGUCGGCACGCCGCCGCAGAACUUCACGGUCAUAUUUGACACCGGGAGCUCAAACUUGUGGGUUCCGUCGUCGAAAUGCUACUUUUCGAUAGCAUGCUACUUGCACCACAAAUACAAGUCAACCAAGUCGACCACUUACAAGAAGAACGGAGAAACUUGCACAAUUAGCUAUGGCUCUGGGUCAAUUGCUGGCUUCUUCAGUGAGGACAGUGUGUUAGUUGGCGAGCUUGUUGUGAAAAAUCAGAAAUUCAUCGAGACAACCCGUGAAGCAAGUCCUACUUUUAUCAUUGGGAAGUUUGAUGGUAUACUUGGGCUCGGAUUUCCGGAGAUCUCUGUGGGAAGUGCCCCUCCAAUUUGGCAGAGCAUGCAAGAGCAGAAGCUGAUAGAGAAGGACAUCUUCUCCUUCUGGCUUAACCGUGAUCCAGAUGCAUCUGCGGGAGGUGAACUCGUGUUCGGGGGUGUGGACAAAAAGCACUACAAGGGGAAACACACAUAUGUUCCGGUCACUCGCAAAGGCUACUGGCAGUUUGACAUGGGUGAUCUUCUCAUUGGUGGCGAUUCAACUGGCUUCUGUGCCGGUGGUUGCGCUGCAAUUGUCGACUCAGGGACCUCACUGCUCGCUGGCCCAACGACCAUAGUGGCUCAAGUCAAUCAUGCAAUUGGUGCUGAGGGGAUUAUCAGUACGGAAUGCAAGGAAGUAGUGAGAGAGUAUGGAGAGAUGAUCCUGGAGCUGCUUGUAGCACAGACAAGGCCACAGAAAGUGUGCAGUCAGAUUGGUCUCUGUGUAUUUGAUGGUAGUCACUCUGUCAGUAACCAAAUUGAAUCUGUUGUUGAUAAGAAAGCGAAGCGAGGCUCUGAUCUUCUCUGCACCGCUUGUGAGAUGACUGUUGUCUGGAUACAGAAUCAGCUCCGAAAAAAACAAACGAAAGAGCUCAUCUUGGAUUAUGCGAAUCAGCUCUGUGAGCGUCUCCCGAGCCCCAACGGAGAAUCAACCGUCGACUGCCACCAGAUCUCAGAGAUGCCUGAUCUUGCUUUCACCAUAGCAAACAAGACUUUCACCUUGACGCCAGAGCAGUACGUAGUGAAGCUGGAGCAAUCAGGCCAGACCAUUUGCAUCAGUGGGUUCAUGGCGUUUAACGUGCCGCCCCCUCGCGGCCCGCUCUGGAUACUUGGAGACGUCUUCAUGGGCGCCUAUCACACCGUUUUCGACUUCGGUGAGAGCAGGAUUGGGUUCGCCAAAUCCGCGUGA